UAAAGAUAGGUUGGUAAGAAAUAAGACUUAAUAAUCUUGCUUUACAUUAUAGUUUAUUAAGGAUAAGCUUAAUAAAAAUACAGGAAAAGACAUAUACUUUAAUGAAUUACUUGGGCUUGAAAUUAGCCAUUACAACGAAAUUUGUUAUAAAAUAAUUCCUUUAAUUAAGAAGAUUUCUAUGUUUCUUGUUCUGCUCGGUAAUAAAGGUAAAAGGUAAAACUAAUAAGCCUAAUUUAUUUAUGCUAAAAUGAGUAUUUUUACAUCUACAUGUAGGUAAAUACUAAAGGCACCUAUAACAAUAUAGUUUAAAAAGUUAAAAUAAAAAGAAGGAACUCGGCAAAUCUUAGCUUCGCCUGUUUAUCAAAAACAUGGCUCUUUGUUGUUUUAGCAUAAAGAGUCAGACCUGCCCAGUGAAAACUUUUAACGGCCGCGGUACCCUGACCGUGCAAAGGUAGCAUAAUCAUUUGCCUUAUAAUUGAAGGCUUGUAUGAAUGGUUCAACGAAAGCACUGCUGUCUCCUUUUUAAUAGAUAGAACUUGACUUCUAGGUGAAGAGGCCUAGAUAUAAUUGAAAGACAAAAAGACCCUGUCGAGCUUUAAAAGUCGAGUUAGAAAUAAUUAUAAAAUAACUUAGAUCUACUACUAACUGCUCUUUUUGGUUGGGGCGACCAAGGAACAACAAAAGCUUCCUUUUCUAACCUAACCUAUAGGUAUUGAUCCAGUAUAAAGCUGAUUGAAAAAAUUAGUUACCGCAGGGAUAACAGCAUAAUCUCUCUUGAGAGACCAAAUCGAAAGAGGGGGUUGUGACCUCGAUGUUGGACUAGAAUGUCCUAAAGAUGCAGAAGUCU
rnacentral:rRNA from 1 species